rnacentral:tRNA from 1 species
CCGGGUGUGGCGCAGCUGGUAGCGCGCUUGACUGGGGGUCAAGAGGCCGUGGGUUCAAGUCCCGCUACUCGGACCA